ACUUAGGUAGUUUAUUAAAAAUUUUGAUUUGUGGUGUCAAGGAUAUGAAUUUAUUCAUCUUAGGUC
rnacentral:tRNA from 1 species